rnacentral:rRNA from 1 species
GCCCAGCUUGCUGGGUGGAUCAGUGGCGAACGGGUGAGUAACACGUGAGUAACCUGCCCCUGACUCUGGGAUAAGCCUUGGAAACGAGGUCUAAUACCGGAUACGUGACGCUCAGGCAUCUGAUGCGUCUGGAAAGAUUUAUCGGUCAGGGAUGGACUCGCGGCCUAUCAGCUUGUUGGUGGGGUAACGGCCCACCAAGGCGACGACGGGUAGCCGGCCUGAGAGGGCGACCGGCCACACUGGGACUGAGACACGGCCCAGACUCCUACGGGAGGCAGCAGUGGGGAAUAUUGCACAAUGGGCGCAAGCCUGAUGCAGCGACGCCGCGUGAGGGAUGAAGGCCUUCGGGUUGUAAACCUCUUUCAGCAGGGAAGAAGCGCAAGUGACGGUACCUGCAGAAGAAGCGCCGGCUAACUACGUGCCAGCAGCCGCGGUAAUACGUAGGGCGCAAGCGUUGUCCGGAAUUAUUGGGCGUAAAGAGCUCGUAGGCGGUUUGUCGCGUCUGCUGUGAAAACUCGAGGCUCAACCUCGGGCUUGCAGUGGGUACGGGCAGACUAGAGUGCGGUAGGGGAGACUGGAAUUCCUGGUGUAGCGGUGGAAUGCGCAGAUAUCAGGAGGAACACCGAUGGCGAAGGCAGGUCUCUGGGCCGCAACUGACGCUGAGGAGCGAAAGCAUGGGGAGCGAACAGGAUUAGAUACCCUGGUAGUCCAUGCCGUAAACGUUGGGCACUAGGUGUGGGGCUCAUUCCACGAGUUCCGUGCCGCAGCAAACGCAUUAAGUGCCCCGCCUGGGGAGUACGGCCGCAAGGCUAAAACUCAAAGAAAUUGACGGGGGCCCGCACAAGCGGCGGAGCAUGCGGAUUAAUUCGAUGCAACGCGAAGAACCUUACCAAGGCUUGACAUACACCGGAAACUUCCAGAGAUGGUUGCCCCGCAAGGUCGGUGUACAGGUGGUGCAUGGUUGUCGUCAGCUCGUGUCGUGAGAUGUUGGGUUAAGUCCCGCAACGAGCGCAACCCUCGUCCUAUGUUGCCAGCGGGUCAUGCCGGGGA